UACGGAGGGGGCAAGCGUUGUUCGGAAUUACUGGGCGUAAAGGGCGCGCAGGCGGCUGCUCAAGUCAGGCGUGAAAGGCCUGGGCUCAACCCGGGAAUUGCGCUUGAGACUGGGCUGGCUUGAGUGCGGGAGAGGAUGGUGGAAUUCCCAGUGUAGCGGUGAAAUGCGCAGAUAUCAGGAGGAACACCGGUGGCGAAGGCGGGUCUCUGGGCAUUAACUGACGCUGAGGAGCGAAAGCAUGGGGAGCGACAGAUG
rnacentral:rRNA from 1 species